GAAACACCAAGAGAAAUCCUCCAUCUCACGGACGCCACGAGGACACGAUAAACACGCAGUCUUGUUCAGCGACACAAAGGGAAAGUUUCUGGCCUAAGAGUCAGACCAGAUGAAACACUGACAGACCAUUAGAGGAGGUACAUCCUGCAGGCGUAACAAACACCUCUCCUCUCACCACACAACUCUGCAUACAGCUAUCUGGCAAUCAAUGUGGCAGAUGUUGAAGUCUUCAGUCAACAACCUCUCCUCUC